rnacentral:rRNA from 1 species
GAGCGCCGUAGCAAUACGGAGCGGCAGACGGGAGAGUAACACGUGGGAACGUGCCCUUUGGUUCGGAACAACCCAGGGAAACUUGGGCUAAUACCGGAUAAGCCCUUACGGGGAAAGAUUUAUCGCCGAAGGAUCGGCCCGCGUCUGAUUAGCUAGUUGGUGGGGUAAUGGCCCACCAAGGCGACGAUCAGUAGCUGGUCUGAGAGGAUGAUCAGCCUCACUGGGACUGAGACACGGCCCAGACUCCUACGGGAGGCAGCAGUGGGGAAUAUUGGACAAUGGGCGCAAGCCUGAUCCAGCCAUGCCGCGUGGGUGAUGAAGGCCCUAGGGUUGUAAAGCCCUUUCGGCGGGGAAGAUAAUGACGGUACCCGCAGAAGGAGCCCCGGCUAACUUCGUGCCAGCAGCCGCGGUAAU